rnacentral:rRNA from 1 species
UACGAAGGGUGCAAGCGUUACUCGGAAUUACUGGGCGUUAAAGCGUGCGUAGGUGGUUUGUUAAGUCUGUUGUGAAAGCCCCGGGCUCAACCUGGGAAUGGCAAUGGAUACUGGCAGGCUAGAGUGCGGUAGAGGGUAGUGGAAUUCCCGGUGUAGCGGUGAAAUGCGCAGAUAUCAGGAGGAACACCUGUGGCGAAAGCGGCUCACUGGACCACAACUGACGCUGAGGCGCGAAAGCUGGGGGAGCAACAGG